CAGCAGUCUGGAAGCAAUGGAUUUCCUGUCGGUGGGAUAAACAGAGAGAAAAUGUAUUCAGAAGCAGAUACAAAGAAUGUGAAGAAGCAACUGUGGUUAUCAGUAACCUCAACCACACUGAAAGCUAGGAAGCCAAACAGCCACAGGGAACAUCCGAGUAAAGAACUUGAGAAACAGAAGGCAUAGAACAGUGAGCAAAGAAAUGCUGAGAUAUUGAUAACAGAUGCAUAAGGUGGAAAAAGUUUUGAUCAUCCUAGCUUGUAUUUUAGUUUCUCACAGAAUAUCUAAUCUCAUAGAUAAGACUAGACUCUAUGAAGUUGUUCUGCCU
rnacentral:lncRNA from 14 species